GAUCCUGGCUCAGGAUGAACGCUAGCGGCAGGCUUAACACAUGCAAGUCGAGGGGCAUCACGAGGUAGCAAUACUUUGGUGGCGACCGGCGCACGGGUGCGUAACGCGUAUGUAACCUACCUAUAACAGGGGCAUAACACUGAGAAAUUGGUACUAAUUCCCCAUAAUAUUCGGAGAGGCAUCUCUCCGGGUUGAAACACCGUGGUUAUANAUGGUACGAUGCGUUGUUAUUAAGUCUAGUUUGGGUUGAGGG
rnacentral:rRNA from 1 species